rnacentral:rRNA from 1 species
UGAACAUUGAGCCUUGAUGUGUAGGAUAGGUGGGAGGCUUUGAAGUGUGGACGCCAGUCUGCAUGGAGCCGACCUUGAAAUACCACCCUUUAAUGUUUGAUGUUCUAACGUGGACCCGUAAUCCGGGUUGCGGACAGUGUCUGGUGGGUAGUUUGACUGGGGCGGUCUCCUCCUAAAGAGUAACGGAGGAGCACGAAGGUUGGCUAAUCCUGGUCGGACAUCAGGAGGUUA